rnacentral:lncRNA from 1 species
UCCUCCCAGAGCAGAACAGUUCGUAUUUGGGCAAGACAAAAGGCUAUUGGAGAAGGUCAAGGUGACUAUGCCCUGAGCAUCACCCAGCCAAUACUGAAGUUCUUUGAGAAGUAUUACAGCACCAACUAUCCACUCUCUAAAUCAGACCAGAUUGCACUGCCUGACUUUAAUGCUGGAGCCAUGGAAAACUGGGGUCUCGUCACCUACAGGGAAACGUCUCUGCUCUAUGAUCCCAAAACCUCGGCCAACGGCAACAAGCAGAGAAUUGUGAUUGUGGUUUCUCAUGAGCUCGCUCAUAUGUGGUUUGGAAACCUGGUGACUCUGAAGUGGUGGAACGACUUGUGGCUAAACGAGGGAUUUGCUUCAUAUGUGGAGUACCUUGGUGCAGACUAUGCAGAGCCAACCUGGAACAUUAAAGAUCAGAUCAUACUGUAUGAUAUUUACCGCGCGUUUGCUGUGGAUAGCCUGGUCUCCUCUCACCCGCUGUCCUGCAAAGAGGAGGAGGUCAACAAGCCAGCGGAGAUCAGCCAAAUGUUCAACACCAUAUCUUACAGCAAGGGGGCUGCGGUGCUCAGGAUGCUCUCUGAAUUCCUGACUGAGCCGAUCUUCGCUAAGGGGCUCAGUGUAAGUCAUACUUUUGCUUAUGGGAACUCUGUGUAUUCAGAUCUGUGGGAUCAUCUUCAGAAGGCCGUAGAGAAAACCCCACAUCUGAAGCUGCCGCACAGAGUGCAUGACAUCAUGAAUCGCUGGAUUCUGCAGAUGGGUUUCCCAGUGGUCACCAUUGACACCCAAACAGGAAAUGUGAGCCAGAAGCACUUCCUGUUGGAGCCAAACUCUGUGGUGGAAAGACCGUCUGAGUUCAAUUAUGAGUGGUUUAUACCAAUCAAGUGGAUGAAGAAAGGGGUAGAACAAGAUCAGCUGUGGCUUCUUCAGAAAUCAGCUAUGCACAAACCUAUGAAAGUCAGCAGAGGUGAUUGGGUUUUGGCCAACACUAAUGUUUCUGGAUACUACAGAGUCAACUACGACCCUGAGAACUGGGAGCGCCUCCUGAAACAACUGAGCUCCAACCAUCAGGUAAUACCACUGAUAAACAGAGCCCAGAUACUGGAUGAUGCCUUUAACCUGGCUAGGGCAUCCAUCAUUAACAUAACUCUCGCUCUGAGAACCACCAAAUAUCUCUCGCUGGAGAGAGAGUAUAUUCCAUGGGAGGCGGCUCUGAGAAGUCUCAACUCAUUAUUCCUCCUGUUUGAUCGCAGUGAAGUUUAUGGGCCCAUGCAGGCCUACCUCAGAAAACAGGUCAAGCCUCUGUUUGAUUAUUUUGCCAGUGUUACUGAAAACUGGGCGACUGUGUUCUCACAGAUCAUCGCACUGUCACUGGCGUGUAAAACCGGGGUGCAGGGCUGCCGUGAACUCACCAAAACCUGGUUCAGACAAUGGAUGCAGGAUCCUAAUAAUAAUGAGAUUCACCCCAACCUGAGGUCCACAGUGUACUGCUAUGCUAUAGCUACUGGAGGAGUAGAGGAGUGGGACUUCACCUGGAAGAUGUUCAAGAAAGCGACAGUAGCAGCCGAAGCGGUUAAACUGCGCGCAGCUUUGUCCUGCACCAGAGAGCCCUGGUUACUCAACAGAUUCCUUGAAUACACUUUGGAUCCUAAUAAGAUCCGGAAGCAGGAUGCCACUUCCACAAUCGGAGCCAUCGCUAGUAACGUUGUUGGUCAGCCUCUGGCCUGGAACUUCGUCCGGGCGAGAUGGGAGUACCUGUUCAAAGAGUAAG